rnacentral:rRNA from 1 species
AGUGAACGCUGGUGGUAGGCCUAACACAUGCAAGUCGAACGGCAGCACAGUAAGAGCUUGCUCUUACGGGUGGCGAGUGGCGGACGGGUGAGGAAUACAUCGGAAUCUACUUUUUCGUGGGGGAUAACGUAGGGAAACUUACGCUAAUACCGCAUACGACCUACGGGUGAAAGCAGGGGAUCUUCGGACCUUGCGCGAUUGGAUGAGCCGAUGUCGGAUUAGCUAGUUGGCGGGGUAAAGGCCCACCAAGGCGACGAUCCGUAGCUGGUCUGAGAGGAUGAUCAGCCACACUGGAACUGAGACACGGUCCAGACUCCUACGGGAGGCAGCAGUGGGGAAUAUUGGACAAUGGGCGCAAGCCUGAUCCAGCCAUACCGCGUGGGUGAAGAAGGCCUUCGGGUUGUAAAGCCCUUUUGUUGGGAAAGAAAAGCAGCAGGUUAAUACCCCGCUGUUCUGACGGUACCCAAAGAAUAAGCACCGGCUAACUUCGUG